rnacentral:rRNA from 1 species
ACAUACGACCAUAGAUAACAGAGAAUUCGGGGUCCCGUCUGCUCCCCCAUAGACAAGCUGUUGUUAAUCGGCAGAUUAGUAGUAGUUGGGUCGGUGACGACCAGCGAACACCGGCUGUUGUAUGUU